rnacentral:tRNA from 1 species
AGGAGUUUAGGUUAAACUAGACCAAAGACCUUCAAAGUCUUAAGUAAAUUACAACAAUUUAACUCCUG